CGCGUAGGUGGUUUGGUAAGCGAGAUGUGAAAGCCCCGGGCUUAACCUGGGAACGGCAUUUCGAACUGUCAGGCUAGAGUAUGGUAGAGGGUAGUGGAAUUUCCUGUGUAGCGGUGAAAUGCGUAGAUAUAGGAAGGAACACCAGUGGCGAAGGCGGCUACCUGGACCAAUACUGACACUGAGGUGCGAAAGCGUGGGGAGCAAACA
rnacentral:rRNA from 1 species